UGCGAGACUCAUCCAGGAAGCUCGCAAUCGGAAUGAGUACACUUUAAAUUCUUUAACGAGGAUCUAUAUUGGAGGGCAAGUCUGGUGCCAGCAGCCGCGGUAAUUUCCAGCUCCAAUAGCGGUAAUAUUAAAGUUGUUGCGGUUAAAAAGCUCGUAGUUGGAUUUCAGUUCUGGACUGGACGUUCACCGCCGGUGCAUACUGUCACGCUCCGAACAGCCACAACAGCCGCUGGCUCGCACGGGGUGCUCUUCAUCGAGUGUCCCGCGUGGCCGGCAGAGUUUACUUUGAAAAAAUUAGAGUGCUCAAAGCAGGCUACACUUACGGCCUGAAUGCCUAUGCAUGGAAUAAUGGAAUAGGACCUCGGUUCUAUUUUGUCGGUUUUCUGAACCCGAGGUAAUGACUAAUAGGAACAGGCGGGGGCAUUCGUAUUGCGACGCUAGAGGUGAAAUUCUUGGACCGUCGCAAGACGAACUACUGCGAAAGCAUUUGCCAAGGAUGUUUUCAUUAAUCAAGAACGAAAGUUAGAGGUUCGAAGGCGAUCAGAUACCGCCCUAGUUCUAACCAUAAACGAUGCUGACCAGCGAUCCGCCGGCGUUAUUCCCAUGACCCGGCGGGCAGCUUCCGGGAAACCAAAGUCUUUGGGUUCCGGGGGAAGUAUGGUUGCAAAGCUGAAACUUAAAGGAAUUGACGGAAGGGCAACCACCAGGAGUGGAGCCUGCGGCUUAAUUUGACUCAACACGGGGAACCUCACCAGGCCCAGACACCGGAAGGAUUGACAGAUUGAGAGCUCUUUCUCGAUUCGGUGGGUGGUGGUGCAUGGCCGUUCUUAGUUGGUGGAGCGAUUUGUCUGGUUAAUUCCGAUAACGAACGAGACUCUGGCCUACUAACUAGUCGACGGAUCUCCAGCAAUUGGUGUCCAGUUCGCAGCUUCUUCUUUUAGAGGGAUAAGCGGCAACUUUAGCCGCACGAGAUUGAGCAAUAACAGGUCUGUGAUGCCCUUAGAUGUUCUGGGCCGCACGCGCGCUACACUGAAGGGAUCAACGUGUCCUCCCCCUCCGAGAGGAGCGGGUAACCCGUUGAAAUCCUUUCAUGAUAGGGAUUGGGUUUGCAAUUGUCUCCCAUGAACGAGGAAUUCCCAGUAAGCGCAAGUCAUGAGCUUGCGUUGAUUACGUCCCUGCCCUUUGUACACACCGCCCGUCGCUACUACCGAUUGAAUGAUUUAGUGAGGCCUUCGGACUGGCGCUCUUGGAUGCCGGGCCCACGCGGUUCCGCCGCUGGGCUUUCGGCGCCUCGAGCUGACGGAAAGAUGUCCAAACUUGAUCAUUUAGAGGAGUACCCAAAGUCGAUACAAGGUUUCCGUAAGAGUGAACCUGCGGAAG
rnacentral:rRNA from 1 species